rnacentral:rRNA from 1 species
UACGUAGGGGGCAAGCGUUGUCCGGAUUUAUUGGGCGUAAAGAGCGUGUAGGCGGCUUGGUAGGUCCGCUGUGAAAACUCGAGGCUCAACCUCGAGAUGUCGGCGGAAACCACUUGGCUAGAGUCCGGAAGAGGAGAGUGGAAUUCCCGGUGUAGCGGUGAAAUGCGUAGAUAUCAGGAGGAACACCAGCGGUGUAGACGGCUUUCUGGACCAUUGCUGACGCUGAGACACGAAAGCGUGGGUAGCAAACAGG